AGCAAAUCCCUCGCAAUUUGCG
rnacentral:snRNA from 1 species